GAGGGUAUAGCUCAGUGGUAGAGUGCAUGCCUAGCAUGCAUGAGGUCGUGGGUUCAGUCCCCAGUGCCUCCA
rnacentral:tRNA from 1 species